GCGGUGAAGCCGGCCAGGGGGACAGCCCGGUUGGGAGCGGAGGAUCAUUCCGUGCUGGUGGCUGAUGGGGAAGGAGCGGCGGCGGUGGCGGCUCGGCGGAGGGGAUGGGGUGCGCUCUGCCUUCGCCGCCCCCCCACCUCCCCCCUCCCCGCCUUCUCCUCCGCUCCCCCGCCUGCCGGAUCCUAGGGGAGGCGCCGAGGCGCGGGGCGGGGAGCGGCGCUAAAGCCGGAGCCGCCCGGGCAGGGGCGCGCAGCCAGGAGGGAGGGAAAGUGCAGGAUGGAGAUACUUCUUUUACCUGCCUCGUCUGCAGAUAAACUGUAAUGAAUGCAGUUGACAACUAAGCACAAGUUCCGUUGAGAGCGUGCGAGCUGGGAGAAGGGUUGAGCUGGAUCCAGCUGAAGGUGUGAACAAAGGUGGCCACUGGGCUGAGGCUUCACAAAGGAAGGUUUGGUCUGGACUUUGUUUUUAUGGCAUAGGUGAAGACCUUUGGAAAAGAAUUUUUAUCAUGGAAACAAAGUGUCUAUAAGUAUUAAAUAAACCAACAUAAUAUUUAAAAAAAAAAAAGUUUCUGAGAAUCCAGAGAUACUUUUUCCUUUGUUUUUCUCAAAAGAAUGAAUGUGUUGUGUGUUCUAAUUAUAUAAAGUUGUAUAGAGUGCCCCCUUCCAAACUAUUUGGGGGAAACUUAUUCAAAGUUCAAAACCAAAAUUAAAUGUUUAAACCUGUUGGUUUCCCCUCUGCCCCAUUCAUGUGCAUGCUGCUUGUAUCACAAGGGUUUGGGAAGUCUUGAGAACUGUUUGGAGAACUAAAAAUAAAUGGAAAUGUUCCACUGGCCAAAUAUCUAAGCAUCAUAUCACAACAGUAAAUAAAUUUUAAAUAACAUCUUUGCAGAGUACAGCUUUUCUUAAACAAACAGCAACAAAAAAGAUCUGGUGACUGGACUGACUAACACUUUUAGGAUAUGGAAAAAAAAGUAAAUCAGCUUUAAAAAUGGAUAUGAUUAUGCCAUUUAAAUGAGGGAUCCGGUUUUGUUCUCUUUGUAAUAGAGGAAGAAACUGUUACAUUUUGAUGAAGCAAUACUAAGUCUUAGUUGAGGAAUUUUUAUGAUGCGUUUCUAUGA